GCAAGGUAAUUGACCGAUUCGUUCGCAAACUCGUUCGUUAUUGCCAUCAUUUCAAAAAUGCGCGAGUGAUCAAAAAACAGGUUCUAUGGAAGCUUCUAGAACUUUCGAUUACAAGUCUAGUAGUAACUAGUAAAAUAAUGCCACAGUUUUCGCGGCUGUCGAAGAUAAUAUUUCGGUAAGUUCGGUGAAUUUUCUUCGGUAGUUCGGUAUAAUAACUUAAUUAGUGAUUAAUUAAUGUGUUUCGCUCGUGUAUUCGAUGAUUUGUGUUCGCGAUACGAAAGAUUUCGAAUUCGAGUAUCGGAUAUCUACCGCCACCGGUCAUCAUAUCCGAUGGCGAGAUGCUUAAAUCUUCGUAUUUCGGUUUAUUCGUACUUCGUAGAAGCUUUCUGUGCUGAAAUCGUAGUAUAAAAUAAUUCGUAGUUAAUUAUUUGUGAAGUGUAAGUGUUUAAUUUAAUAACUAAACUACCUACUCCAUUGUGUUCGGUGUUCGGUGUCAGUGGAGUAGUUUCAAGAUGUAGCUUUUCUUUGCUCAUAUCGGGUAUGGGUAUACUUCUGUAGGCACUGUAGUUUCUACAUGAAGUAAAAAUGUGUUAUUUGAGUAAAAUAGCUGAUAUUGUGAAGUGAAGUUUCGCGUUUGUAUUCGAUAUUGUAUGCUUCGAAUCGGAGGUGUGAGCUGUAGCUUCAUCUAUUCGAUUUGAUCGUUGAGCUCCUACGCAGCUGCAUCUUUGAUCAGGCAGAUACAGAAGUUUCCGGUGAUACGAACACAACAGCUGUGUUUUUUGGCUUCUUGAAGAGCAGCGGCGAAGUGUAGCUGAAGCUGAAGCUGAAACGUGUCGUAAUGGAUUUGCAUUAGAACGAGCACUAAACAUCCGUAUUCAUCUAUUCAUCGAAUCAACGUUCCAUCUGAAACAUCAUCAGGUGAGAGCCAAAAUUUAUGGAAUUUGAAUCUCAAUGGGCUGAAAACAGAAUGACGAGGAAUCCAAUCGCUUGAUGAAUGUGG